rnacentral:rRNA from 1 species
CAGCAGCCGCGGUAAUACCGGCGGCCCGAGUGGCGGCCACUAUUAUUGGGCUUAAAGCGUCCGCAGCCGGGUUGGGAAGUCCUCCGGGAAAUCUGGCCGCUUAACGGUCAGAAUUCCGGGAGAUACUGCCAGCCUAGGGACCGGGAGAGGCCGAGGGUAUUCCCGGAGUAGGGGUGAAAUCCUAUAAUCCCGGGAGGACCACCUGUGGCGAAGGCGCUCGGCUGGAACGGGUCCGACGGUGAGGGACGAAGGCCAGGGGAGCAAACCGGAUUAGAUACCCGGGUAGUCCUGGCUGUAAACGAUGCGGACUUUGUGUCGGACAAGCUAUGAGCUUGUCCGGUGCCGGAGGGAAACCGUUAAGUCCGCCGCCUGGGGAGUACGGCCGCAAGGCUGAAACUUAAAGGAAUUGGCGGG